rnacentral:rRNA from 1 species
UACGUAGGGGGCAAGCGUUGUCCGGAAUCAUUGGGCGUAAAGCGCGUGUAGGCGGCCCAGAAAGUCUGGUGUGAAAACUUAAGGCUCAACCUUAAGCUGUCACUGGAAACUAAUGGGCUUGAGUCCGGAAGAGGAGAGUGGAAUUCCUGGUGUAGCGGUGGAAUGCGCAGAUAUCAGGAGGAACACCUAUGGCGAAGGCAGCUCUCUGGUACGUGACUGACGCUGAGACGCGAAAGCGUGGGGGAGCAAACAGG